UACAGAGGGUGCAAGCGUUAAUCGGAAUUACUGGGCGUAAAGCGUGCGUAGUCGGUUAUUUAAGUCGGGCGUGAAAGCCCCGGGCUCAACCUGGGAAUUGCGUUCGAUACUGGAUAGCUAGAGUUCGGCAGAGGGAAGCGGAAUUUCUGGUGUAGCGGUGAAAUGCGUAGAUAUCAGAAGGAACAUCAGUGGCGAAGGCGAAUCUCUGGACAAUUCCUGACACUGAUGCUCGAAAGCUAGGGGAGCAAACGGG
rnacentral:rRNA from 1 species